UGUGCUGGUUCCAGUGUAAUACCCUUUUGAUCCACUAGGUGGUAGUGUUCUGUUAAUUUUAUCAUUAUAUUAAGAAGUGACCUUUCACCUAAACACCAGCCAUUUUGAAACAUUCAGUCGAUGCUGACAGCCACACGGUCUCUCAGACCUUCAUCUGUCUAUUCAUUUUGUAUUUCCUAAUAGAAGCUUUGUCUGUAAGUACCAAAAUAUUUUAUAAGGAUUUUGUGUGCAUUACAUAUUAAUAUUGGGGACAUAUUUCAUGCUAAACUUUUCUUAGUAAGAUUGCUUUAGAUCAGCAGUUCAUGCAUCCACAUCAUUAUAGUGAUAUUGUAUGUGCGUUUCAUUCGAUUGUACAGUAAUAUUUCUCAAAUUCUUAUUUUGUAAUGUUUGUUUUCUCUCUGUAUUUCAGUUUUACUCUGUUCCACAUACAUUUGAAGUGGUGGUCACAAUAAAUCCAUAUUCAGUUCAGUAUCUCAGUGGAAGGAGUUGUCUAUCUGUCUAGUUGAAGAAGGGGAACUCUUUUACGAGGGCAGAAUAGUAAAAAGACAAAUACUGAUCGACACAUUAAUGAAUAGAAGAUCAAGUUCAGCAUUCAUUUCAGAAUGUCUUCAUCUGAGAAACAUAGUCUAAGAACAAGAUCGGCAUGUACUCGAUCAUCAAGACACUCAAGCAAGUCUGCAGCAAGUGCAGCAGCAUUGGAGGCCCGUGCGAAGGCAGAAGCUGCACUAACUAGAGCCACAUAUGCACAAAAAGAGAUAGAAGUGAAAGUAAAGCAAGCUCAAGUACAAGCUCAGCUUAAAGUGGAGGAGGCUCGUCUAGAGGCUACACUAAAUGCACUACAACAAGAAAGAGAGGCAGAAGCAGCUGCAGCUGAGGCAUCAGUGUUUGAGGCUGCAGCAGAUAUAAGGGGUACAGAUCAACUCUCUGAUAAUCAAGACCCACAUUCUUCACACAAUUCUCUGCAAAGAACUAAAGAAUAUGUUGAAGACCAGCAAAAAUAUAAAGAAAGUUACAUGCCAGAGUUUGCAGAAACCACUGAACAGAAGCUAGUAGCUUCUAAUCUGGUUGAUGUUCAACAGCCUCAACCUAUCGAGCAAGAUAAUUCAUUUCAAAGUCUGCCAGCAAGACAGUCAGCAAUUAAAAUUGUCACUAAUGCUGCUACCCCUCUUAUCCCUACCACUCAGGCUGGAGCGAUCAAAAAAGAAGGUGCAAACACAUCAUUGUUUAAAUCAGCAGUGCCGGAUGCACUACCUCCAAGACACAACGCUUCACUCACAAGCCCCCCACACUCACAUUGCAAUGAGCACUAUAAUGCUCGCUCAGAAGUGUUUGAGCUUGCAAAGUUUCUAGCUCGACGUGAUCUUCUGACAGGUGGGCUUUCAAGAUUUAAUGACAAGCCAGAGAACUAUUGGGCAUGGAAGUCCAGCUUUUGCAAUGCUAUUGAAGGACUUGAUCUUAAACCUAGUGAGGAACUAGACCUACUUGUUCAGUGGCUGGGUCCAGAAUCGACUGAACAUGCAAGACGCAUUAGGUCAGUUCAUAUUAGUUAUCCUGAUGUUGGGCUCAGCAUGGUCUGGAAACGGCUAGAGGAUUGCUAUGGUUCAGCCGAAGCUAUGGAGGCAGCGCUCUUUAACAAGCUUGAAUGUUUCCCUAAGCUGUCAAACAAGGAUCAUCAACGUCUCAGAGAGCUGGGAGACCUACUCCUUGAAUUAAAGAUAGCCAAAGCUGAAGGUUAUCUGCCAGGCCUGACCUUCUUGGAUACUUCAAGAGGCAUCAGCUCCAUCCUAGAGAAACUGCCAUUUAAUUUGCAAGAAAAAUGGAUGUUGCAAGGAACUCGUUACAAACAGGAGUAUGGAGUUAGUUUUCCUCCUUUUUCAUUCUUUUGUGAUUUCAUUUGUGGUGAGGCCCGCAUGAGAAAUGAUCACAGCUUUAAACUGACUACACAAAAUGUGUCAUUAUCCAGAUUUGAAAAAUAUCCAAAGGCAAUCAGAGCUCCUGUUACUGUCCACAAAACAGAAAUUGACAAUGCCACUCAAAGAAAUGAAUUUAAUAGGACAAAUGAUAACCUCAACAGACAAUGUCCUAUUCAUAAAAAGCCACAUCCCCUCAGAAAGUGUAGAGGUUUCAGGGAGAAGACCUUGCUGGACAGGAAAGCUUUCCUCAGAGAGAACUCCAUUUGCUUUAAAUGCUGUUCCUCGACUACCCACCAGGCAAAGGAUUGUAAGGCAGUAAUCCAGUGCUCUGAAUGCAACAGUGACAAGCACAUAGCCGCCCUACACAAUGGUCCAGCCCCCUGGUUAGAAAAAAAGGAUACAGAACCUUCAGCAGAUUAUGGCGGGGAGCAGGAAGAAUUUCUUUCCCCAGUUGCAACAUCUUCCUGUACAAAAGUAUGUGGGGAUCCAAAUAGCAGAAAGUCAUGUUCAAAGAUCUGCUUGGUAAAUGUAUAUCCAGAAGGUGAGCCUCAUAACAAAAGGAAGGUUUACGCAGUCAUAGAUGAUCAGAGUAAUAGGUCUCUGGCGAGAUCAGCUUUUUUUGAGAUGUUUAAAGUUGAAGACAACACAGCACCUUACAUGCUCAGAACAUGUGCGGGCAUUGCAAAGACUGAAGGACGAAGAGCUGAUGGAUUUAUAGUAGAAUCCUUCGAUGGAAAGACAUCUCUUGCUCUUCCAUCACUGAUAGAAUGUAAUCUCAUCCCAAACAACAGAUCAGAGAUUCCUACUCCAGAGGCAGCACAAUACCAUAGUCAUUUAAGAUCGGUAGCCUCAAAAAUUCCAAGUCUAGAUCCAAAGGCCAAAAUUCUGCUUCUGCUCGGGAGAGAUCUCAUUCAGGUACAUAAAGUGGAGGAACAAUGUAAUGGACCACUACAUGCUCCCUUUGCCCAGAGGCUGGCCCUUGGGUGGGUGAUAGUUGGAGAUAUCUGCCUAAACGGAGCCCACAAACCUGCUACAGUGGAUGUUUUUAAGACUCACAUCUUAGCAAAUGGACGCCCCAGCUACAUGAGUCCCUGUCCAAACAGCAUGUUUGUGAAGGACUAUUUCAGUCUGCACAAUGAGCCAAAACCUUCAUUGAACCCCAAGCAGAAAACCUUAUCAGUAUCUGAAGAAUGCUCCAUUGGAGAGUCAGUUUUUCGCUGCACAAAGAAUGAUGAAAAAACAGCUCCCUCCAUGGAUGACUUGGCAUUCUUGAAGAUUAUGGAAGAUCAAUUCCAUCAGGAUGAAUCCAAUAGCUGGGUUGCCCCUCUACCAUUCCGCAGCCCUCGGCAGCGCCUCCCGAACAAUAAGGUUCAAGCCAACAAUCGUCUUAUGUUGCUGACACGCAAACUAAGAAAGCACCCAGAGGUAAAGGAGCACUUUGUGGAUUUUAUGGGCAAAAUCUUUGAAAAUGGCCAUGCAGAGUUGGCACCACAGUUACAGGAAAAUGAAGAGUGCUGGUAUCUGCCCAUGUUUGGGGUGUACCAUCCUAAGAAACCUGGACAGAUAAGAGUAGUGUUCGACUCCAGUGCACAACAUCAAGGAGUGUCACUAAAUGAUGUUCUCCUCACUGGCCCUAAUGCAAACAAUAGCCUUUUAGGGGUAUUACUGCGAUUCAGGAAAGAACGAGUAGCAGUGAUGGCUGAUAUCCAGCAAAUGUUUCACUCAUUUGUGGUAGCAAAAGAACAUCGUAAUUUCCUACGCUUUCUUUGGUAUGCCAACAGUGACUUAAACAGUGAGGUGCGAGAGUAUCGCAUGCGAGUGCAUGUUUUUGGUAACAGCCCAUCUCCAGCAGUUGCCAUAUAUGGACUCAGAAGAGCUGCUCUCACAGGCGAGCAAGACUAUGGAUUUGAGGCAAGGCACUUUGUGGAAAGAAACUUUUAUGUGGAUGAUGGCCUUACCUCCUUCCCCACAGAAGAGGAAGCCAUCAAACUGCUCAAAGACACUCAGGAAAUGCUGGCCCAGUCUAAUCUGCAUCUUCACAAGAUUGCUUCUAAUAAAGUGGAAGUUAUGAAAGCAUUUCCUUCAGAGGAUCUUGCAAAGGAGUUAAAGAACCUAGAUCUGAAUACUGGACUCUCAUCAGUCCAAAGAAGUCUUGGAGUGAGUUGGGACAUGAGUGAAGAUGUGUUUAUCUUUCAAGUUGCAGAUCAGAUGAGACCAUACACUAGACGUGGGGUUCUGUCAACGAUAAACAGUUUGUUCGACCCAUUUGGGUUUGCUGCACCUGUUGUCAUUCAAGGCAGACUUCUACUCAGAACACUAACCACAGAAUCUUGUGACUGGGAUGCACCUCUAUCAAGUGAGAAAUUCAAGGAAUGGAAGAUUUGGAGAGACUCGUUAAAGAAGCUUGAGCUUGUCAAAAUCCCUCGCACAUAUGCCACCAUCUCUCUUCAUCAAGCGCAAAGAAGAGAAAUGUGUGUCUUCUGUGAUGCGUCCACAAAUGCCAUUGCAGCUGUCGCAUACAGCAAAAUUACCAGUAUAAGUGGUAAUGUAGAAGUUGGAUUCAUAUUUGGCAAGGUUAAACUAGCUCCGCGACCAGAGAUCUCUGUCCCUAGACUUGAACUGUGUGCAGCUGUUCUGGCUGUGGAAAUAGCUGAAAUUAUUGCAGACGAAAUUGACAUCAAGCUGGAUGUUGUGACAUUCUAUUCAGACAGCAAGGUUGUCUUAGGUUACAUCUGUAAUAGAUCCAGGAAGUUUCACGUGUAUGUGCACAACAGAGUGCAAAGGAUUCAGAGGUCCACGCACCCUGAGCAGUGGAAAUACGUCCCAACCGAUCAAAACCCUGCUGACCAAGCCACAAGAUCUGUUCCAGCAGCUGAUCUUUCCCAUAGCAUGUGGUUGACUGGUCCCAGAUUCUUGUUUAAUACAACACAGGAAACAUCUCACACAGGUCCCUUUGCCAUGAUACAUCCAGAUUUGGACAUUGAAGUACGCUCCCAGGUUAUUUCCUGUGCCACUCACACUUCAAAAAGAGACUUAGAUCCCAAACGCUUUGAGAGAUUCUCAAGCUGGCAUACACUGGUUCGGGCAAUAGCCAGACUUGUGCACAUAACUCAUUCUUUUCAGAAGGAUAACGAUAAAAGCACUUGUAGAGGCUGGCACAUAUGUGACAAACCCUGCUCAGUAGAAGACCUUGAAAGAGCGAAGUCCAUCCUCAUCCAUAGUGUACAAGCAGAAUGCUAUUCAGAAGAGCUGAAAUGCCUUAAGGGAGGCAGGGGCAUUCCAAAACAAAGUCCUCUUUGCAAUCUAACACCUUAUGUAGACGAACUCGGCCUGCUCAGGGUUGGUGGCCGCCUCUCGCAAGCGAGCCUUGAUAGAGAUGAAGUGUGCCCAAUAAUUCUCCCCGGACAGUGUCACAUCACAUCUCUUCUCAUUCAACAUUAUCACAAACAAGUUGAACAUCAGGGACGGGCCUUUACUGAGGGUGCCUUAAGAGAGGCUGGCUUUUGGAUCAUAGGUGGCAAAAGGCGCAUCAGUAGUGUGAUUUUUCAGUGUGUAAAGUGCCGCAGACUGCGAGGAAAGUUUUUAACUCAAAGAAUGUCUGACUUACCUCCUGAAAGGCUCAGCAUAGACCCUCCAUUCUCCUUUGUAGGGGUGGAUAUUUUUGGGCCUUGGAUGGUCACCUCACGUCGAACUAGAGGAGGACAAGCAAACUCAAAACGCUGGGCAGUCUUGUUCACAUGUAUGAGCACAAGGGCUAUACACAUAGAAGUCAUGGAAUCAAUGGAUAGCUCCAGCUUUAUAAACGCUCUCCGCCGUUUCUUUGCUGUUCGAGGUCCGGCAAAGCAGUUGAGGUCAGACUGCGGUACCAACUUUGUUGGAGCGUGCAAGGAGCUAAAGAUGGAGGCAAUUACAGAUGACAGGAAGGUACAAGAAUAUCUGAGUAACAAGAGCUGCAUUUGGAUAUUUAAUCCUCCCCACUCAUCCCACAUGGGGGGAAGCUGGGAGCGUAUGAUCGGAGUCUCAAGACGCAUCCUUGAAUCUAUGCUACAAGGAAUCGCACUAUCAAAGUUAUCCCAUGAGGUUUUGAUCACCUUUAUGGCGGAAGUCACAGCUAUAGUUAACAACCGUCCACUAGUGCCUGUGUCUACGGAUCCAGAUGCUCCAUUAAUUCUUACCCCAGCAACUCUACUGACUCAGAAGUCUUCAGCAGUUCUUCCUCCGCCAGGAGAAUUUGGUGAGAAGGAUCUCUUUGUUCGUCAGUGGAGACAGGUUCAGAGCUUGGCCAAUACAUUCUGGAAUCGUUGGAGGAAAGAAUAUCUUGCCACCUUACAAAACCGCAGAAAAUGGCAAAAUGAGAGCUCCAAUCUACAAGUGGGAGAUGUUGUGCUGUUAAAAGACAGCCAUGCUAGGAGGAAUGACUGGCCCAUGGGAAUUGUGAUGGAAACAUUUCCUGGGAGAGACGGGAGAGUAAGAAAGGUUGAGGUCAAGGUGGUAAAAGACGGAGUGUCCAAGACGUUUUUACGACCUAUAUCGAAUGUUGUUUUACUGUUGUCUCCAAAGACUGAGUAAACAUAAUAUGAAUAUCAUUGAUGGCGUCUUUCAGACACCAGACGGGGAGUGUGCUGGUUCCAGUGUAAUACCCUUUUGAUCCACUAGGUGGUAGUGUUCUGUUAAUUUUAUCAUUAUAUUAAGAAGUGACCUUUCACCUAAACACCAGCCAUUUUGAAACAUUCAGUCGAUGCUGACAGCCACACGGUCUCUCAGACCUUCAUCUGUCUAUUCAUUUUGUAUUUCCUAAUAGAAGCUUUGUCUUUUUACUCUGUUCCACAUACAUUUGAAGUGGUGGUCACAAUAAAUCCAUAUUCAGUUCAGUAUCUCAGUGGAAGGAGUUGUCUAUCUGUCUAGUUGAAGAAGGGGAACUCUUUUACGAGGGCAGAAUAGGUAGGAAAUUGCUUGCAUGUCCUUCCUAAUGUAAAGAUCAGCCAUUAACAAUCUGUCCAUCAUGUUGAGUGAUUUAUUUAACCAUAUCCUGUAAAUGUAGAAAAUAAAAUUUAAAUAAAUCUGCCACUAAUACAAUUUUGCUCAACCAAUCCUCUUCUCAUUGACUAAUGGCUAGUUGACUAUUCAGAAGUAGCCCUACAAAUUUCACUCUCAUUCCAGGUCACGAAAUGUAAUCCUUCCAGCUUACCCGUACCAUCCAUUAUUGAACCAGAAUAACUUGCAUUAAAAGGUCUGUGUGCUACAAAGUGCACUAAAGACCACAGCAUCUAGCAUCAUUUACUAGUGCAUCUCAUGGGGCCAUGUAAAUCCUCCAGAUCUUCUCGCCCUGAAUGAGAUUUUAACCAGUGUUAUUGGCAUGGGAGGCAACAUCAGUCUAACAUCAGUCGCUAACACACAUCUUGAGGCACGAGCAGCAUGGUUUACUUGCACAGCUCAUAAUAGCUGGCCUCCUUUACAUUUGCAUGUUACAAAACACAUUUCCUUUAGCAAUGACUCAUUGAAAGCAUUCAUCAUCCAGUCUAUGAGCAUCUCAGUUUACUUGAUGAAUAGCAGAUAGAGUAGAAAAUAUACAUAGGGAGAGUGAUUCAAGUGACAGUGUCAAGGUUUUCUGUCACUAUAGAAAUUUCCUUAGCCAA